GAUGAACGCUGGCGGCGUGCCUAAUACAUGCAAGUAGAACGCUGAAGGAAGGAGCUUGCUCUUUCCGGAUGAGUUGCGGACGGGUGAGUAACGCGUAGGUAACCUGCCUGGUAGCGGGGGAUAACUAUUGGAAACGAUAGCUAAUACCGCAUAACAGUAGAUGUUGCAUGAUAUCUACUUAAAAGGUGCAAUUGCACCACUACCAGAUGGACCUGCGUUGUAUUAGCUAGUUGGUGAGGUAACGGCUCACCAAGGCGACGAUACAUAGCCGACCUGAGAGGGUGAUCGGCCACACUGGGACGGAGACACGGCCCAGACUCCUACGGGAGGCAGCAGUAGGGAAUCUUCGGCAACGGACGGAAGUCUGACCGAGCAACGCCGCGGGAGUGAAGAAGGUUGUCGGAUCGGAAAGCUCUGUUGUAAGAGAAGAACGAGUGUGAGAGUGGAAAGUUCACACUGUGACGGUAUCUUACCAGAAAGGGACGGCUAACUACGUG
rnacentral:rRNA from 1 species